rnacentral:rRNA from 1 species
AGAGUUUGAUCAUGGCUCAGAGUGAACGCUGGCGGCAGGCCUAACACAUGCAAGUCGAGCGGCAGCGGGUCCUUCGGGAUGCCGGCGAGCGGCGGACGGGUGAGGAAUGCGUCGGAAUCUGCCUCUUUGUGGGGGAUAACGUAGGGAAACUUACGCUAAUACCGCAUACGACCUACGGGUGAAAGCCGGGGACCUUCGGGCCUGGCGCAGAGAGAUGAGCCGACGUCGGAUUAGCUAGUUGGCGGGGUAAAGGCCCACCAAGGCGACGAUCCGUAGCUGGUCUGAGAGGAUGAUCAGCCACACUGGAACUGAGACACGGUCCAGACUCCUACGGGAGGCAGCAGUGGGGAAUAUUGGACAAUGGGCGCAAGCCUGAUCCAGCCAUGGCCGCGUGUGUGAAGAAGGCCUUCGGGUUGUGAAGCACUUUUGUCCGGAAAGAAAUCCUGUCGGUUAAUACCCGGCGGGGAUGACGGUACCGGAAGAAUAAGCACCGGCUAACUUCGUGCCAGCAGCCGCGGUAAUACGAAGGGUGCAAGCGUUACUCGGAAUUACUGGGCGUAAAGCGUGCGUAGGUGGUUUGUUAAGUCUGAUGUGAAAGCCCUGGGCUCAACCUGGGAACUGCAUUGGAUACUGGCUUACUAGAGUGCGGUAGAGGGGUGCGGAAUUCCCGGUGUAGCAGUGAAAUGCGUAGAUAUCGGGAGGAACAUCCGUGGCGAAGGCGGCACCCUGGACCAGCACUGACACUGAGGCACGAAAGC